AUGUAUGAAAGAUGCCCAUCCAGGGCGAAAACCAACCAGGAAAUGAUCUCAAGCCUAACUAUCCCUGGGAUGACACAAUCAAAAUAACCAGUAACUAAUGAAAUUCAUGGAACAGUUUUGUAUGUAAGUAUAACUUAAAGAAAUAAAUCAUAUUUAAUUAUUUAAACAUAUUUCAACCUAUUUUGUAUUUAUAAAUUGAGUUUUUGAUUUAAAUAUUUAUUAAUAUUAUUCCAUAAAUUUAGGAUUUAAUUUGAAGUAGCAACACCAUCCGAUUUAAUUAGUUUCUAAUUGGCCAAAUGGCUGUCAUUCGUUUUGUUGCUACAUCCAUGACUUUCUUGCCAUGAAACAAAACUAUAUUAUAUUCGAGACAAUCCUAAAAACGUUAAACUGAAUUACACAUGCAAAGUGCCGUGUCACAAUACCCCUCUCCCCGCUGUUGCGUUUUACCAAGGGUAAAACGCUCGCUGUCCUCAGCGACUAUCUAAUUCUAAAUCGUGUGUCACAGAAACGAAAAAAAACACAAACAAAACAACCUCAACCAUACUUAGUAUGGGAGAACCCGAAACAAAAACCACCACCGAAGUGAUUGCCGUAGGAUCGAGAUUCCUAUCCAACCGAAAAGCCAAAGUAAACCACACAACUCCACAUACCAAAACCAAUAAACCAUAAAUUUUUUAAUUUCUAUCUCGAACCCACACAACCUAAAUACAAAAAAAAUGUGGUAUCCGCACUGCCGGAAAAAUCCACACCGCAAUAUCCAACUAACCAGUUAACCAUCCCUUGGUUCUACCAGCACAACUUUACCCAGUUGCGCUGGCAAAACCAAACCAACUGCCAGGACUGAUGAUCAGCAUUCCAAACUUAUCUCUACUAGACCGGGCAAAAUAAAAAUUCCGAAAUAAUUCCUACUUCGAAGUUUACUUUAUAAACUUGAGAAGUUAAUUAAAAUUCCAAUCCAAAAUAUAAUUCGUAAUUCCGAAAUUUCCAUUCUAAUCCUAAAAUGUUGCAACCCUACAGGUUGAGGACACCAAUAACUGUCUCAACCCUUCAGGUUGACAACCCAAACAAAAACCCAAACCAACAAAAUACCAAUCCUCGAAAAAACCAACAACAAACGGUUGAAUUGGACACAUCUUAGCUGUGCCAACUCUUCCAUUAUACAAAGCUAACCAAACCAUACCAAACAUCUGGGCCCUUCGAGUUGGUAAGAGUAACCUAUCCCCCAACUCUCCGGAUCACAAAACAAACCAACCAAAACCUUACACAACUCUGAGGUUGCAACAUGCCCAAAAUCUCAACCGUUUGGUUGAGUACAGAAACAAUAUCGCACGCCAGGCAUGAAUGACGGCGAUACCGCGUGUCGCAUCUUCGCCUACAAAAUAUUUCUCGUUGUAUCGGCAGCGCGAACACAAAAAAUCGUGUGCCUCACCAACGCCUCUAUGGCUUGGACUUAUGGGCAACACGUACACAAAAAGAUACCCACCAGCGAGUACCAGUCGACGCUAAAAAGAGCAAGAACCCAUCGGAGUACACAAAAAAGAACGCAAAACGUCCGUGGUAUGCAGUGCGCGCCCCGCCAUACCUCACAAAAUCUCCUGGGUGUGGACCCCUGUCGACCCAAAACACAAAACGCACCAACACGGCGCUCGGGUGUGGUAAGCACCCGAUAACUUCUCAAAAAACCUAUUGGCCGUAUUAAGGAUCGCUCCAAAACUUAAAAAAUGAGCUAGAUUGUAACGCCCCUUUCAUACUUCACGCAUUUAGAGAACUGUUCCAAGAACCCUUUCAUUCAUCACACAAAACAAAAAAUAGUAGUGAAAACAGACAUUGCUGCUCACCACGUUCCGUACAUACAGUCGUGAUUGAAUAUUUUUACCACAAUAUCCAACACUCCAAACGAAACAACCGUAGAACGAAACGUUAUGGCGUAAGCGAGGGCGUUUACUCUGGCGGCAAGGUGAAAGCUAAAAAACCGGGACCUUGCGUCCAGAGAAAACUUCCACCUCCACAAAACCUACCAAAAAACCUUGUGUCUACAUCCUUAAUACGCCACGAUCCAAACUCAAAGUCCAGAAUCCAAGACUACUCCAACCUAGCACCAUACAAAACAAACUUUCACUGAACUUAAACUUGGUGCUAAAAAAACACUAUCGUAACAUUCGUAACGUUACAUCAUUAAAUGGAAUGUUUUGAAACACCCCUUAAUGAUAAACCAAGUUAAUCAAUAACUUCAAAAAACGAGCGUUUAUUAAACGCUGACACGUUACGAUUCUUAAGUUUGGACCCUAAAAAUAUCAUGUUUCUGAACGCACCCUUUGUUGAACUUAUUUAUUUACUCUAUGGCAUAUCGUCUAUGCUUUUAAAAAGUUAAAUGUCACUGAGAUAUUUUGCGAAUUCUAACCUUACCUACCAAAAAAAACUUUCGCCGCAUUUAUUACUAGAUUCAUCUAUACUUCAGCCACUAUUAAACAACAAAUUGGAAAACUAGAUACGAGUGUGAUCAACUUCGAACUAAUACAUACUUAGAACUUCAAUAUCUAGUUUGUCAAAAUGCGAACUUGAAAUGGAAUUAAAUCUACUAAUAAACACAGAAUCCUAUAUAACUGUGCUAAAUUUGAACAACAGACCACCAUAAAAGCAAUAGAUAUCCAGCUAUGCCUAUAACUGGACACCGGACUAUAGGAAUUUGUAACUUCAGAAAUCAAUGAAAAAAUAUGGGAACACAGGCACUGGCAGUGCGCAGAAGUAGUAUAUCUUCAACAAAUCAAAAUCGUUUCUAAUCAGGAACACAACAGAAGUCACUUGCCGGAGACUAUCAACGUUGCUGCUGCGGUCGGACACAAACACUGCCCCUUCACAGCCGUUCCUGCAAGCUUCCAACUACUGCCAGCGACGCCUCUGUGUGGAUCUACACCUCAUAAAUAAGUUCAACGGGCAUUAAACAUUAAAAGUGUACUGAAACCGCCAUUGUAUAAUAAGUUUAACUCAAAAAUAUUUAAAUAUGAUGGCAAAAGACUUACAAAUUGAUGUGGCACUAUUGUAUCAUUUCUAUUUAUAAUAAACAAUGCUAUAUCUA